rnacentral:rRNA from 1 species
AAAGGGUCCGUAGGCGGUUUGAUAAGUCAGUGGUGAAAGCCCAUCGCUCAACGAUGGAACGGCCAUUGAUACUGUCAGACUUGAAUUAUUAGGAAGUAACUAGAAUAUGUAGUGUAGCGGUGAAAUGCUUAGAUAUUACAUGGAAUACCAAUUGCGAAGGCAGGUUACUACUAAUGGAUUGACGCUGAUGGACGAAAGCGUGGGGAGCGAACAGGAUUAGAUACCCCAGU